rnacentral:rRNA from 1 species
GAUGAACGCUGGCGGCGUGCCUAAUACAUGCAAGUCGAGCGAACGGACGAGAAGCUUGCUUCUCUGAUGUUAGCGGCGGACGGGUGAGUAACACGUGGAUAACCUACCUAUCAGACUGGGAUAACUUCGGGAAACCGGCGCUAAUACCGGAUAAUAUUUUGAACCGUAUGGUUCAAAAGUGAAAGACGGUCUUUCUUUCACGUAUAGAUGGAUCCGCGCUGCAUUAGCUAGUUGGUAAGGCAACGGCUUACCAAGGCAACGAUGCAUAGCCCACCUGAGGGAGAGAUAGGCAGCAUGAGAGCGAGGACGGGGUCAAGACUCCUACGGAAGGCAGCAGAAGGGAACCGUCCGCAAGAGUCGAAAGCCUGGCGAAGCGGCCCCGCGUGAGUGAUAGAGAUCUUCCGAUCGUAAGACUCUGUUAUUAGGGAUAAACAUAUGUGUAAGUUACUGUGCACAGCUUGACGGUACCUAAUCAGAAAGCCACGGCUAACUACGUG